rnacentral:rRNA from 1 species
UACGAAGGGGGCUAGCGUUGCUCGGAAUCACUGGGCGUAAAGCGCACGUAGGCGGCUUCUUAAGUCAGGGGUGAAAUCCUGGAGCUCAACUCCAGAACUGCCUUUGAUACUGAGGAGCUCGAGUCCGGGAGAGGUGAGUGGAACUGCGAGUGUAGAGGUGAAAUUCGUAGAUAUUCGCAAGAACACCAGUGGCGAAGGCGGCUCACUGGCCCGGUACUGACGCUGAGGUGCGAAAGCGUGGGGAGCAAA